CUGAGGCUGCCAAGGGAAACAAACUGGCAGGAGAAAGGGGAACAAACUGGCUUGGGAAGCAACAGGAGAAUGGGGAGAAGUAACUCAGUGAUUGAAACAAGGACACUCUGGGAAAGCUUUGUAGGUGACUGCCAAUUGUCCAAAAGCAGAGUGGACAACUCCUUCCUUGCUGCUGACUGCAAUUGCAGGAAGAAAAGGUGUCUGUAAAUACUCUCUGUACUUUCACAGCACUUGUACAUGCGGAAAUCCUUGUCUGCUCCAGAAGUCUUAAACAGUUUUGGCACCUUUGCCACCAAAGGUAAAUAAUCCCAAGAAAGACACUUGUUUCUCUAAUGUGAUCCUGUUCAGUCUCCUCAAGGAUGUAGCACAAUGCUCGACCCUCAAGGCCAAAGCCAAGCAAUAAAGUGAACUUUAACCUUUGAAGAACAGGCAUGUGUGAAAAGAAAAAGCUGUGGAAACGUUUCUUGAAGACACUGGUAUCAUGCCUAAGGUGGUCCAUGCACUUUCACCCAAGAACUCCUGUUGGAAACCAGCAGCUCUAGCAGAGGAAUGUCUCUCCUUAAUGCCAGCAGCUUUGUGUGGUGACAGGUGCUGAGAAGAAGAUCUGAACAUCUAAAUCAUACAGGACCCUGUUUCUUCCCAGGAAACUAUGUUCAGCAGAACAGAAUAACAUAUUUGGCCAGACCUGAAGGGAUUUUUAUGAGUUCCAUGUGAGAUGCUGAAGCCUUAACUUAAUUGGCCUUACAUUCCUCAGGAAGAUAUACACCCUGUAUCCACAUCCACUCAGUCUGCUCUCCUUUUCAACCUUGUUACCAUAACUAUUGAUUUCUCUUGCUUUAGUCCAGCCUGAUGCUCAUGUAAAUCAAGUCGGUUGCUACAAUCUGGGCUGCGUCAGGAAUGCAAAAUUCACAGCCUUUCUUGCUUUCCUCCUUUUCCUCCUACUGCCAGUGAUGUUUUAAUUUUGACAUUCUGCAUGCAGAUCAGAAAUGUACCCAAAGCUAUUUCGUGUCCCACAAAUUUCUUGUCUGUGGAACUUAAGAAAGUGGCUUUUUAUAACAUCAGUAUCAUGCAUAUCCUGCAUGGCAAGCCCUGUGGAGUACUAAAACUCAAAUUUUUUAGUGCAGAGAGAAAAAAAAAAAAUGUUUUGGGGAGAGGAAUAUCCUCCAUUGGUCUGAUGAUUAAUUUUCACCGGAAAAAAAAUGCUACCGCAACCAUUAGCAAAUCUCCUGGUGGAAUGGAUCCUGUCAAAACACAUCCUAGCACUGUUAGCCCUCGGCACCUGAGCAGUUUGCACUUAAAUCCCUGCUGGGCCCUGCGGCAGUGGUUCCCGUUGUGCUCCUGCUGCAUCCCUGGUACUGGGAUGCACGGAGCGGAGCGCGAACCGAGGCCCUGGAGGCCUGUGGGAUGGGCGAGGGCACGGCUGCUGCCCCCGUGUUUCUUCCCCCAGCCCUCCCGAUGCUGCUCUGCUAGUGUGUUAGCGUUUGCAGGAACCACCACGGCUCCAAGCUCGAUGAAGGAGGGGAUGAGCAGAGGGGCGGGAACACGGGGAGGGUCGCUGCUGGUGGCUCCUACCGUGAUGCAUCCUGGAUUGGUUUGGACAAACUCUGGCCAGACUUGGAGGGCCCGGCAGGGUGAGAUGGAGGAUGUGGGUCCAGGCACUCACAGGUCUGGACUGCAAGCUGUCCCUUUCCUCACCUGUCUCUGGUGAGCACAAUGCAGUCACUCCACGAUGUUCUCACCUAAACCCUUACUCUUAUGCCAGAGGGCAAAGGCAGUGCUGUCACAGGCCUGGGGAAAGGUGAGGGAGGGGCUGUCCAGCAGCCAUGAGCAGUGGGUGCCAUCUCUGCAUGUGGGGGGACUGAACACCCUGUGUAUUGCAGGAGUGGCCAGGGGUUAUCAGCUGUAGCUGAGGGACGAGGCAGAGUGCUGCACGCAAGACAAGUGCGUUCCUCUUCUCAUCCUCCCCCAGCCAGCAGUCAUGGCAUGUGGGCUAUCAUCAAAAUGCCUCCUCUGUGACACUGAAAAAAAGCCAAUGCCCAGUGUAAAAGGGAGGUUUAUUGGUGGAAAGAUAUACCUGAUUAUGCUACAGAGCUGGAGAGAUGCGCUGUGAAAGGAAACAGAUUCAGACACUAGCUCAAUCAACAUCAUGGAGUCCCACUGUGAUGCAAUGGCUUUUUCCAGGACUUCAUGACAGAAGAAAAUAGGAUUCUUGACCACUUGUUCAACAUUUAUGAUGCUCCUGCAGGUGAAAAUCCAAAAGAAAAUAACCUCAGUGACAACCAAGAGUUGCAGGUUAUAAAACACAGACAUUUUUUUCAAGAUACAGGGUAGUCAAUUCUUUCUGUGUGAAACAGACAAAAGCUGGACCAAGGUCUUGCAGCAAGCUGUGCCUGGACUCCUGAGAAACUGCUCAUGAGACAGCAGCCAGCAGAACUGCUGUGCUGAGCAGGAUGCAGACCUGACCUCCUCUACAGCCCAGCAGCAUCAUCCUCUGACUAGUGAAUACAUUGCCUGCAUGAUUCAUGCCACCUGGUGUUCUCCUCAGAUAAAUGUAUUUACUGUCCCAGAAAAUGUUUCUGUUAGUCCAUGUGGAAAACUUUGCUUGGGUCUGGGAAGCAUAGGCUACAGAGGGAAGACUUUUGAGGAUGGCCAUAGGUAAAUGGUUCUUUGGUACAUAUCUGUGCUUUUGGGGAAGCUUUGAAGGUAUUUCCCGGUCUUUCCAUUAUUCUGCACUUUGGCUUUCAUUCUAGAUGCUAAGCUCUUCCCAUGAACAGCAGCGUGGUCCCCACUUAGAUUCCACUGGUUCAUGGGACAGGACCUGGCCACUGUCUCUGCUUUCUGAGAAGCCUUAAGGAGACUUCAUUUAUUUGAGAAUGGUUCCUGUUCUACUCAUUCUGCUGUUGCUGCUUUAUAGUUCACUUUCUUAUCUGCCUGUUGGGUUAUUUUCUGGCUUUCACUUACCUUUUUGAAUCCACAGUCCGUUUCUGCAACAACCUCUUUGCAAGGUGAUGAGUAUUGAGCAACAGCAUACUCUCCUGGAGGAGAAGAAUAGAAACAUUCUUGUUACCCUGGAGAACCCUUCUUGUGCCUUUUCCUGGACAUAACCUAUGCAUGCUUAAACUGGAGAUCCUUGAAAUAUCCUUUAUUCUGGUGCAUGUAUUUUCAUAACUUUCUAGUCAUGCCUACUGAUCACCUUGGGCAUGAGACCAAGGUGAAUAAAGUGAAAUGAGUCUCUCCCCUGGCCCCAGAUUCAGGUGCUGAUGGAGUCCAGAGGAGUGCUGUUUGCAGCAGGGCUGGUUCUGGCUGUCCCUUAAGGCACACUGUUUCUGCUGUGCCUGUCCCCACUCUUCACGCUGGUUAAAAUCAAAGCCAUACCUGUUUCAUAGUAGUCAUAGAUCUGCACAGGUGCUGGCUUGGGGUGGGUCACUACAAAGUCCUGCUCAACCGAGAAAGUGAUUUCCUUCCUUUUCUUCUGUGAGAGCUGGGAUGGAAGGUCAGAGAUCACAUCAGUCUUUUUUUUGUACAGCACCAUCCAGAGCAGACAAGGGUGGUAACUGACAGGCUGCAUAUUCCAAAUCCCACUGAUGCCACACCCACAGAUAUGGGACAGCCAUUAUCCAAACACGCUUGGAGAGUCCAAAGUGAAACUGAACUGAAAAGUUAAUAGAUUUUUCUGUGCUGCUUGUA